rnacentral:rRNA from 1 species
UGACGUUGGGAAAGCGAGCGGCGGAUGGGUGAGUAACACGUGGGGAACCUGCCCCUAAGUCUGGGAUACCAUUUGGAAACAGGUGCUAAUACCGGAUAAUAAAGCAGAUCGCAUGAUCAGCUUUUGAAAGGCGGCGUAAGCUGUCGCUAAGGGAUGGCCCCGCGGUGCAUUAGCUAGUUGGUAAGGUAACGGCUUACCAAGGCGACGAUGCAUAGCCGAGUUGAGAGACUGAUCGGCCACAUUGGGACUGAGACACGGCCCAAACUCCUACGGGAGGCAGCAGUAGGGAAUCUUCCACAAUGGACGCAAGUCUGAUGGAGCAACGCCGCGUGAGUGAAGAAGGUUUUCGGAUCGUAAAGCUCUGUUGUUGGUGAAGAAGGAUAGAGGUAGUAACUGGCCUUUAUUUGACGGUAAUCAACCAGAAAGUCACGGCUAACUACGUGCCAGCAGCCGCGGUAAUACGUAGGUGGCAAGCGUUGUCCGGAUUUAUUGGGCGUAAAGCGAGCGCAGGCGGAAAAAUAAGUCUAAUGUGAAAGCCCUCGGCUUAACCGAGGAACUGCAUCGGAAACUGUUUUUCUUGAGUGCAGAAGAGGAGAGUGGAACUCCAUGUGUAGCGGUGGAAUGCGUAGAUAUAUGGAAGAACACCAGUGGCGAAGGCGGCUCUCUGGUCUGCAACUGACGCUGAGGCUCGAAAGCAUGGGUAGCGAACAGGAUUAGAUACCCUGGUAGUCCAUGCCGUAAACGAUGAGUGCUAAUGUUGGGGAGGUUUCCGCCUCUCAGUGCUGCAG